AACCUUAGAGAAAAGUCACAGGGCUGGGACGUGGCUCGCGGUAGAGCACUCGCCUACCCAAGUCCUCGUGCAGGGCCUGAGGUCAGCCCCAGGUGGGGGAAAGAGAUGAAAGGACUGAAGCCCACUAAGGUCAAGGACAGAGUGACCAGAGCUGAACCCAGGAGCACAGGGGCGGGCUCCAGGUGCACGGGGAACGUGAUGGGAAGGUGAAAAUGACCCCAGGACACGGUGGAUGUGGGGCAGGCCCAGGUCACCCAGCCUCUGCUAAACGGGAAUUGUUGAUGAAGAGCACACAGGUGAGGAGUAGAGGACUUGCUUUACUUCUGCACGAUCCUGUGUGAGUACUGACUCCGUGUUCAUGUGCCUGGGGCCUGGUGCCCAGGACAAGUUGCAUAGACCCAGGAAAGGUGGAGAGACGUGAUGAAUGUCUGUGUGGGUGCUGCAUGGCCACAGUGGGCUAGCAGUGUCCACCCAGGGGCUCUGUGAGGGCCGAGCACGGCCUGGGAGGGGCCUGUGCUGCACCCAGGUCUCAUCUGCAGCUGCCCACUCCCGGCCCUCGCUGGGGAGAGGAGCUGGUCACCUUGCUGUGGGGAGGAGGCAGCAACCCUGCAGGGUGUGAAGGUCCUGUGGCCACAUCCUGCUCACUUUGCAGCUUUGUUCAGCUCCUGCAUCCUGGCCCCAAUGUGGCCCCCAAAUUAGCAACCUCCUGUGCCCUGCUGUGCCCUGGAAGGGGAGGCAGCAGAGGUCAUGGUGGAAAGUCCCUCCUGAAGACAUUGGGCCUCCAGAGCCCAGGCCAGAGGAGGGAGCCCUGGGAAGCUGAGGGUAUGUACUGAUGGAGCCCAAUGUCACCACUGAGUGACAGAGCCCGUCAUGGGUGGCAUUCACAGAGGGAUGUAUUAUCUCUGCUUUGGGUGUUGAGGGGCACUGGGGGAAAUAGUUCUGAGCUAUGGUAGAGGCAUGGGUUUCCUGCUCUUAAAAAAAAAAUGUCUUGUCCCAGGGAGAGCAGGAAACCCACAUCAGAAUCUGGAGUAGACCUGGGCGCAGAUGUCCACUAUAGACACAGUGAUUGAUCAGGUUCAGGGACUUGCAAAAGAUUCAAGAAACCAGGACACUUACAGACCACUGUAGACUGCCUCACACAGAACCCAGCACAUGGGUGCUCAGAAGUCUGCUUUGACAGAAGCACAAGGUCCUCAACAAUGGUCCACCACGCUGAGCCUCUCACUGAACCUGAGGUCACUCCAUCUCCAUGGCACUGUCUUCUGUGCUAACUGGUCAAUGGUGUUCCAUCAAAACCACGUCUGAAGGGGACAAGGCGGUGUCAUGAGAGCUAACAGUGGGUGAAGACAUAAGAGGUGUGGACUCACUCCUUAGGUUGAUCUGUACUGUUCUGUUCAGGACCGUGGUGACAACAGGUCCCCUUCUCUUAGCUACCCAGCACACCUGCUCCUUGGCUGAGAAGAAGCUACUCCUGGUGUUUUCAAUCUUCAUUUGUGUGGAGAUUUCUUCCUUCCUAUUUCCUUCGUCCUGUGAGUGUCCUCACCUAUGAGAUGCGUCUCGGCAUACAGUUGGACUCUGUGUUUUGAUCCACUCUGCUCAUCUGUGUCUUUUAAUGGGGGGUGAGACCAUUUACAUUCAGUGUUAGUAUAGAUUGUGUCCGUGUUUCCUGCCAUCUUGGUGUUUUGCUACAUUGGAUACCAUCCUGAGUCUCAUUUAGUGGAUCACUUCUCAGGGAUACUCCUGUAUGGGGGGACUUCCAGAUUUGGUUCUGAGUUCCUCUGUGUGCACUUUAUCUGGAGUGUUCUUUUAGUUCUGGGUGGUGGCCAUGGAUUCUUUCAGUUUAUCCUUGUCAGGGAGAGUUUUAUUCCCCUCCUUGAAGUAGAAAGAGAGCGUCGCUGAGUGUGGUGACCUUGGCUGGCAGCUGUUUCCUUACAGAGCUUGAAAUAUCUCACUCCAGUCCUCCUUGAUUGUAGGGUCCAAAGGGACAGGUCAGAAGGAGUGUUGUUGGUUUGCUUCUAAAUGUGACCUGAACUUUCUCUCCAGAAGUUUCAUAUUCUUUCCUUAUUUUCUUUUUUCCCCCAUGGAGGAAAUGAUAUGAAACAUUUAUUUGAUAUAUCAAACAAGAUCAGAGCUAAGUAACCCAACUCCACUUCAGCACAACAAAGGCAAUCACCCCUCGACCCAGUGUAAGAUUGAAAUGCAACCUGCAUAAGGCACGUGUCAUGAAAUAGCAAGACUGCUGCUGCCUUCCCCAGGACUUCCAGCCCCUACCAGGUGACAGUGAAAUACCAACGGUCCCCAUAGUUUUAUUGAAAUCAAUCAUUUAAAGUGUAUUUUUAAAGAUGAAUCAAAAUGCCUCAGUCUCAUUAACCAUAUAUUCACCUGAAACUUUUAUCUAUGUAAAUGAGAUUUAUUUACUUCCCACUAGUAACUCUUUAUUUUACUCACACUAUAGCAAUGGAUUUUCCAUACUUAGUGUCUGCCUUACCCAAUAUCAAAGAAAAAAAUCCAAAAUGAUUAGUAAAGAAAAAUGUAGGAAAUAACACCAUCUUUACUUUUAAAUAUUUUAAGGUUUAAAAAGUGUUUAAAGUUUGUAAGUCCUAGAAGGAAAACAUUAUCUGAAUGAACACCCUUUGGCCAAUCAUGUACAAUGCUUCACCUGCCCUGGCUGCACAGGGGCAGGGUCACCUUGAAAGCACCCCAGCUCUCCUGAUGAGGUCGGAGGUUGCCACAGCCACUAAGUGAUGGAGGGUGCUUUUCUUCAGUGAGGGUCAUGUGCUGGGCAUUCUGCUUGACCUCCAAAUUUGGCUGACAACUGACUGGUGAGAUUCCUAACCUGUGGGUUGCCUUGACAUCAUGACAUCUUUGCGGGGUUCUGGGCCGCGUCCUGGAAGGCCACCCUAACUCCUGGGUCCUGCAUGGCUACAAGAACACUCCAGCAUGCCCCCUGCCUCCGCAGGCAUUCCCCCGGGAAAGCACCUGGGGAAGAGCCCACCUGAGCUCCUCCUUGUGGUCCGGCUUCCUCCUCC
rnacentral:lncRNA from 1 species